rnacentral:lncRNA from 1 species
CACUGCAAAGAUGAGCCAUCAAAAAAAUUGAAUUGAAAUGUAAAGUUUUUGCAUGACAGCAACACUAUAAUAAGGCGUGUGUGUGUGUGUGUGUGUGUGUGUGUGUGUGGUGUACUCCGGGAGCCCAGCACUGUGUUGUGGAGCAGCAGAAGCAGGCUGGGGAAUGCAGUGUUGGAGUCAGGCUAAUCUGGUGUGUCGCCAGUGUCUGUGUUCACGCUAUCAGGAGAAAGUUGGACAGAUGGGCUGAAGGAAACUCCUCUGAUAGCAGCACCAUGGGGGAGCCGCUGAAGGUCUGGUAUCAGUCAGCUUGUCCUUUUCAUGCCCGAGUGAUCGGCCAGGCCGGGGUGGAGGAGGUCCUGAGAGUGCGGAGGGGACCAGGCACGCGCAGAGACAGCCCCCGUCGCUCCCGGCAACGCGGCCACGGCCCACAGAAGAAGAGGAGUCAAUUUAACAGCAAUCAGCCCCCCGAUCACAAGCAGCCUGCAACCUGCCACCUCCACAAUGACUUUAUCAUCCUCCUUCUCUCUCUCUCUCUCUCUCUCUCUCAUCCUCACUCCUUACCCCACUCCCCCUUUACACUCCCUCAGCUUCAUCACCCAUGCCUGAUUUUUCAUCCCUGCCCUGUUGAUGUAUCAUUUUCAAGUUAGUCCUGCACUGCUCUUAACUCAUUCAACUUUAGGUUACUGCUAAUUCUUAAUUUAUUAAGAAAUUAUUAAUUAGUUAUCAGCACCAGGGUCUUCACCUGCCUGGGCUUCUGAAUAUAAUGUUGGUAGCAAAUUUUCUGUCACAUUUAUUUCAUACAGUUCUCACUGUAAAGAUGUAUGGUACCCCUACAAAUUACCAUCUGGUUAAUCUGUAAUGUUU